CAGUGAGGAAGAGCAGAGUGUGGAAUCUGUUGCAAAUGAAGGAGACUGAGGUGAGAAGAAAAGGUGUCUGAAAACUUCUGAUUUGUCUGAGGAGGUGGCUCCCAGUUAACGUUAACAUCCUUUACAUUCUGAAGGUUCACAAAAAAAAAGCUUACAAAAAUCUUGGUGACCUCAGAGACUUCUUGGAAGCCACAAAGCUCAUCACCUUUUGAUUAUUCCGUUUUAAGAGAAUCAAUACACAUGAAAUUUGCCUUACAUCUGCAUUUAUUUAUUUUAGUACUUUAGUGUAUGUAUUCCAGUAAUGUGAUUACAUAAGAACAAGGUAAACAAGACCCCUGGCCCCAAGGUUUAAAUUAUAGAAUGUCACAUGGUUUCAAAGAUAUUGGUGUAAAGUAUUUAGCAGAAGACAUUGUAGAUUUUAUCCAUCCCCAUGUCUUGGAAAAGUAACUUGCAAGUUUGAAAAGAAAAACCUAGAUGCCACCCAGAUGCCCUACUUCUCAUGACUAGAGGUAUUUUCUAGAAUUCACUAACACAGAAUUAUCUCCUAGGUAAGCUCUUCUAGCUCAAGCCAAGCUGAUUCUACCAUUUGACAGCUCGAUCCAUGGUGACAUGGAAAUGACUUAUUGCAGUCCAUUAUUUUGUAGUUUCCCACGUGAGGAAAUUAGUUGUAUAUGGGAAAGCGUCGAUCCUUAUCCGUCCUGUCAACUGUAGUCAACUCUGGAUUAUUUACAGACCUGAUAUGGGACCGGGCAGAGGGUAACAUAACCACCUCCUCUUGCCAUGGGCAAUGUGGGAAGGUGGUUUCAGAUGGUGCAUGGCUUGUUUGUGGAUGGAACACCAGUAGUUGACCAUAUAUUCUGAGAUCUCCAAGAAUAAUUCUAGCAAGUCAAUAAGUCUAAAGCAAAACUCAGCAAUCUAGAACCCUUAGGGAAUGAAUGCAUUUGGGUAGACAAAUUUUAAGGACGUCUAAUAAUUUCCUUUUUUAGUGCUAUGCAAGGUUAAUUCCACUGAAAGCACUUUUUAGUAGAACUUUUCCUACAGUGUAUUAUUUACUUCCUCAACUUUAUAACAGAGAACUCUGAACUCCAAUAAAUCUUUUCCUGAUGACCUGGCCUCCUUAUGUUGAGUAUCAAUCAUAGUACUAGCUGAAAUACAAUGACUAUUACUGUGUUUACUGCCAUUCUCUGGAGAAUACAUUAAUUGUUACAGGUUUUUAUAGCAUAUGGUUACCCCACACUAAGUGGCCCACACUGAUGUACUCCCUAAUUUUAUUCACUCCUUCUCAUUGCAGUUUGUGUACUUGCCUACGCAGACACUCUCUCCCCUUUGAUUUAUUUAUCCUAAUCUGUUCCAGGCACAGAGUCCAACAACCCUGGGGCAAGAGAAUUAAUAGGCUCUUAGAUCUAUUCUUAUCAGUCAAAGGGAGGAACCCAAUGUUGUGACAUUGUCAUGACAAUGCUGUGACAUUGAUUUUGGGGGCUCCAUGUUCUCCUAUGUUUACUCUUCGGCUCUCCUCCGGUUUAAGGCCAAAUGAAACUAACAGGUAAUGGAUUUUAGACUGGAGAGUCGUAGGAGAGCUACUCAGAUACCAACUGAAGUCAAUUCAACUCUUAUCUACAAAAGAAACCUGCAGUUCUUAAUGCUGGGUUUGCCUUCGUACCUCGAGCUGAGGACUCAAGUGUUACAGAGCUUCAUGUAGAACAAAAACGCGUGCUGAGGCGGGGGCAAUACCAGCCAGGAAACUUACAUUUCAGUUAAGGUUGGGGGGAACUGGUUUUGUUUUUAGGUUGGUAAUUUCUGGCUGCUGCUUCAAAGGCUAUACCAGCGUGGCUGGAGGAGACUGAAAAGGCCCGUCCUGACCAUGCAUGAUGUAUUAGGUCUCUUUCCACGUCCCGAAUGGGAGGGGCCAGUUCCUCAUUCUCCCGACAAACAAGUGCCGAGCUGAGAACUGGAGUUACAGGUGCUUUCACACAUGUACACACCCAGGGGGUUCUAUUAUUUUCUCUUUAUAGCGUUGUCCGAGAUCUACACAGGCACAGCCGUUACAGGAAUUCAGUGUGUUUACACAGGCACUCACAUAAUAGUUCUAUCAGAAUUCUCAGUCCUUGGGCUUCCUCUCUGUCCUUGUGCCUUCCUUCUCCUCCUUGGAGCGUUAGGACUGGAUUUCCUUUCCUGUCAUCCUGACACAGGGGUGUGGUGGCCGGUAAGAGGUUAUGACAUCCCAUAGGACUUAAGGGCCCAUCUGGAGAAACCAGCAAGCCAGGACCAGAAGAAGCUGGUCGCAACAGGAUCUGAACAAACAGAAUACAAGAGGGAAACCCAGAGAGCAGCUGAAUGUCGCCUCUAGUACCUGUGGGGUGGUCUGCCUCUGAAGGUGACAUUG